UACGUAGGGACCAAGCGUUGUCCGGAAUUAUUGGGCGUAAAGAGCUCGUAGGCGGUCUGUCGCGUCUGCUGUGAAAACUCGGGGCUUAACCCCGGGCCUGCAGUGGGUACGGGCAGACUAGAGUGCGGUAGGGGAGACUGGAAUUCCUGGUGUAGCGGUGAAAUGCGCAGAUAUCAGGAGGAACACCGGUGGCGAAGGCGGGUCUCUGGGCCGUAACUGACGCUGAGGAGCGAAAGCAUGGGGAGCGAACAGG
rnacentral:rRNA from 1 species